rnacentral:rRNA from 1 species
UGGGGGAUAUUGCACAAUGGGCGAAAGCCUGAUGCAGCGACGCCGCGUGGGGGAUGAAGGCCUUCGGGUUGUAAACUUCUUUUGCUCUGAACAAGGCAUGCCUUUGGGGUGUGUUGAGUGUAGGGGUUGAUUAGCGCCGGCUAACUACGUGCCAGCAGCCGCGGUAAUACGUAGGGCGCGAGCGUUGUCCGGAAUUAUUGGUCGUAAAGGGCUUGUAGGUGGCUGGUUGCGUCUGUCGUGAAAGCUCAUGGCUUAACUGUGGGUUUGCGGUGGGUACGGGCUGGCUUGAGUGCAGUAGGGGAGGCUGGAAUUCCUGGUGUAGCGGUGGAAUGCGCAGAUAUCAGGAGGAAUACCGGUGGCGAAGGCGGGUCUCUGGGCUGUUACUGACGCUGAGGAGCGAAAGCGUGGGGAGCGAACAGG